rnacentral:misc_RNA from 1 species
CCUCCUUAACGAUAAAUCGCGUUUUAAACGCCCACACGAGUAAUCAAAUAUUAAAAAAAGAACAUUUAGAUAUGUAAAAUCAUUGGUAUGUAAUUUUCUAGUGUAUACAUUUAUGUAUACAUAAGAUCACUGCAAUUAAAAAGUAACAUAUGCAUUUAUGUGUAUGUUAAAAAAGUAAUUAAUAUAUUUUAUUAAGUUACUCUCAAAAAUGAAGAUAAAACUUCAAAAAAAAUAUGUAACCUUUUUUAAGGUUAUAUGAUCAAGUAAAGGAAGAGCACAAGGCGGAUGCCUUGGCAGCAUAAGGCGAUGAAGGACGUAAUAACCUGCGAUAAGCCUCGGGGAGCUGGUAAAUAAGCUUCGAUCCGAGGAUUUCCGA